rnacentral:rRNA from 1 species
UACACUCCUACGGGAGGCAGCAGUGGGGAAUUUUGGGCAAUGGGCGAAAGCCUGAUCCAGCAAUGCCGCGUGAGUGAAGAAGGCCUUCGGGUUGUAAAGCUCUUUUGUCAGGGAAGAAACGGUGAAAGCUAAUAUCUUUUGCUAAUGACGGUACCUGAAGAAUAAGCACCGGCUAACUACGUGCCAGCAGCCGCGGUAAUACGUAGGGUGCAAGCGUUAAUCGGAAUUACUGGGCGUAAAGCGUGCGCAGGCGGUUUUGUAAGUCUGAUGUGAAAUCCCCGGGCUCAACCUGGGAAUUGCAUUGGAGACUGCAAGGCUAGAAUCUGGCAGAGGGGGGUAGAAUUCCACGUGUAGCAGUGAAAUGCGUAGAUAUGUGGAGGAACACCGAUGGCGAAGGCAGCCCCCUGGGUCAAGAUUGACGCUCAUGCACGAAAGCGUGGGGAGCAAACAGGAUUAGAAACCCGGGUAGUCCCAUGA